AUCCAGAUGAUGAGUUGGAAAUAGGAUGAAAUGCUCAUCCUGGAU
rnacentral:hammerhead_ribozyme from 1 species